rnacentral:lncRNA from 1 species
CGGAAGGCCCUCAUUGAAAAUCACCCUUCCUUUCCUACGCUUUAACCUUGGCAAUUGCUGCUUAGUCCUCGCUUUUGCUCAACACCAGAUCCUUGCCUUUUCUGAAAUUUUGUGACAGUUCAUUGUUGAAAUAUCAAGCUUUCUCAUAUUCAGUGCUGAUCUCUCACUGAAGUCCUCCAGAAAUCCUGCUAUUCAGUCAUGAAAGCAAGGCUUUCUACGAACCAUUUUAAACUGAUUUUCACUGCUGAGUAGUUAUCAGUUUUGCUUCACUCAGUACACUGGAGGCCGCUGUGGAUGUCUUGCUGCUGCUUCAGAGUACUGGCAAGCAGAUUAAAGGAGAUGCAAAAGCAACAGGAGCCGGUGCAAGGCUGGUGGAUUCUUCUGAUUGAGAUUAAAUAACUGGGUGGUUUCACACCCCAAAAGACCAAAGUGCAACACAGAAAUGCCCCCAAUACUACACUAAAUGGAAUGCAGCAAAUAAUUUGCCCAGCAUCUGAGAAGCUGUCAGCAGCACCAACAUACCCUUCAGAACAGCAGCAUAGAUUAUUUCCACUCCCAAUAGGUGUUCUGUUGGAAAAAGCAAGGUUCCAAGAAGGAUUUACAGAGGAGAAGGGAUGAAGAAGGAGCAGAUGAGAGAUACUAGUAGAGUUGAGUGUGACAGGAAAGAACUUUACAAUCCUCCCAUUCAUCCCAACUACUUCCAGAGAUGUGAACUAUCUUCAGAGAAUGAAAUGCCAUCUCAAGAUAAAUCAUGUGGUUACUUACUAAUGCUGCUCUAUCAGAGCAUCCAAGUCAGUGCUAAGCAAUCUAGCAAGUGGAGGAAAGGGUGAGUCAUUAUUAAAUUUAUGAGAAGCUGCUUCAUAAAUCCUAUAUAAUCACUUUUUCUGAGUUGACUUGGGAAAAUCCUUUAAAGCUGCCUCAUUCUAUUUGGCAUCCACAGUAGCUCAGUGUGAUAGAAAAGAUUUACUUUUCCCCAGACAACUUCCCAGAGCCCUUGCUUUUCAGCUGACAUCGAGGAAAGAGCCUGUAGCAGUGCAUUUCAAUUUAGAGUCAGAUUUAAAGUCUUCGAAGGCACCUGAAUUUAAGCAAAGAUUAGGCACAUAAAACCAAAAUUACAACUCGAACCCCCUCUG